rnacentral:lncRNA from 1 species
UUUAAAAUUUGUAAUUUUAACGGUUGAUAUAAGAUAUUUUAUCGUUUAAUGGCGUAAAGAUAUCCAAAUCAAUUAAAUUUUGGUUAGAAAUUUUUUUUUAACUAUUUAGAACAAUAUCUAUACUCUUGAUCUUGAUUACAAGACUCCGAUCAUUAUUUUUUUAAGAAUAUUUAUUUUCAACCUUUAUUUUUGUGUACACUUGGUAGACAAGUGAACAAUAUCAAGAAAUAUAUAAAAUUUGGUUUCUAAAUGCUUCAUGUGGUAUAGAUUAUGUUCAACAGUACCAAUCGUCGAUUUGGAGGCUCCAUCAUCAAAACAAAUGAGUGACAACGGAGCUGUGACACCCCAAUAGUCCCACAUCGGACGGGAAUGGGGUUGUCAUUGGAUUUAUAAGAGACUUAGACACUAGUAAUAAUAACUGGGCUUAAGUAUUUUGGGCUGUUGGCUGGGCCCAACGAGUUAUUAUUGCUAGUGGGCUGGGUCAUUACAUUUGGUAUCAGCGCCGGUUCACCAGCUAGACAUGUGUGGCGAGUCUCGGCUGAGCCAGGGUCUGGAUGACGGGCUAGCGAGACGAGUCUCACAUCGCCUGGUGGUGAUCUUGGGCUGUGUGUGUGAUUGGACUAACGAGGACGUCAGGGCCUUAACGGGGGGAGUCUGUGACACUCCAAUAGUCCCAUAUCGGAUGGGAAUGGGGUUGUCAUUGGAUUUAUAAGAGACUUAGACACUAGUAAUAAUAACUGGGCUUAAGCAUUUUGGGCUGUUGGCUGGGCCCAACGAGUUAUUAUUGCUAGUAGGCUGGGUCGUUACAAGAGCUUGUUUGCUAUUGAUAGCAUUCCAGCUCAACUCUCUCUCUAUAUAUAUAGUCAGGCUCCUAUAUUAUCUAUAAAAUCAAUACUUGAAGUUUUUAUAAGGCUUAGUUUGGUAUUGAGGCUUAUCAAAUGUUAUUAGAUAAAAUUGAGUUGAGGAAAAAGCAUAUAGGGAUAUGCUUCUGCGUUCUCCGGUGGGAUCGCAGAAAAUAUAUCGUAACCGACUCAUCGCGAUAUACAGAACGCAAUAUUACGUACAGAAACAAACAGGGUAUUUUUUCAACGUACUUUCUCAUCGCACGUAACACAAUCUCCCCGCAAUACCAAACAAAGCCUAAAUAAAUUUUAUAUUUUUUCGGCAUAGUUUACUUUAUGAUCAACUCAUUUCAAAAUUAUCAAUUUUCAAUAGCUAGCAUGACGAAUUUGUAGUUUAACAAUAUAGAAGAAUCUAAAUUUAUUCAAAUUUUGAUAAAAAAAUACUUUAAACUAUUUAAAUCAAGAUCAACAUCCUUGAUUUUAAAUUUAAAAGUUCUAUCCUCAAAUUUUAAAGAUUGUUCAAUUUCAACCGUUCAUUUUAACAUAAUUUACUUACUAAAUAAAUCAUAUUGAAAAAAAUUAAAAUUUUAUUUCUAAGAACUCUGUAUACCCUAAGACAUAUUCAACAAUAUGGAUCAUUAAUUUGAACAUCACUAUAGGUAGUAUGAUAUAGCCUAAUUCUAUAUAAUAUAUAAUAGCACACAAGUCCUAUUUUUUAUAUAUAUAUAUAAUUGAGCUAGAAUACUUUUAGAAGCGCCAACCCCUUGGUGCUUCUAGAUUUCUAGCCCUUGAUCUACUUCUUGAUUAUUUAAACUCUAUUCCACCUACCUCCACCUACCACCACCUACCACUAUCAUCCCAAACUUACAUCUCUCCAUCAGAUGACUAAAAACUCAAAAGCACAGCCCUCUUGGUGUUUUUGAGAGUAUUCUAGCUCAACUCUCUCUCUCUCUCUCUCUCUCUCUCUCUAUAUAUAUAUAUAUAUAUAUAUAUAGUGUAGAGAUACUGUACUAUCGAAAGUAUAGAGGAUUUUAAACUUUCGAUUUUUUGACCUUUGGAUUAAAAAUUGUGCGGUUGGGAUGAUUGCGGUUCCCCCCUAGAGUUGAGUAGUACUCCUAAGGUUGAGUGGUCCCACAGAGUAAUAGUAUUAAUCCAAAGAUUAGAAAUGAUCUAAGGGAUUGAUUUAAAGGCCAAAAAGUCGAAAGCAUCAGAUCCUCUAUGCUUCCGAUAGUAUAGUAGCUCUACUCUCUCUUUCUCUCUCUCUCUCUCUCUCUAU